GAAUCUGGCUUCAGGUCUGGGACAACCACUGGAAACGGUGGCUAAUACCGGAUGUGCCGAGAGGUGAAAGGUUAACUGCCUGAAGAUGAGCUCGCGUCUGAUUAGCUAGUAGGUGUGGUAAAGGCGCACCUAGGCGACGAUCAGUAGCUGGUCUGAGAGGACGAUCAGCCACACUGGGACUGAGACACGGCCCAGACUCCUACGGGAGGCAGCAGUGGGGAAUUUUCCGCAAUGGGCGAAAGCCUGACGGAGCAAUACCGCGUGAGGGAGGAAGGCUCUUGGGUCGUAAACCUCUUUUCUCAGGGAAGAACACAAUGACGGUACCUGAGGAAUAAGCAUCGGCUAACUCCGUGCCAGCAGCCGCGGUAAUACGGAGGAUGCAAGCGUUAUCCGGAAUGAUUGGGCGUAAAGCGUCCGCAGGUGGCUAUGUAAGUCUGCUGUUAAAGAGUCUAGCUCAACUAGAUAAGAGCAGUGGAAACUACAUGGCUAGAGUGCGUUCGGGGCAGAGGGAAUUCCUGGUGUAGCGGUGAAAUGCGUAGAGAUCAGGAAGAACACCGGUGGCGAAGGCGCUCUGCUAGGCCGCAACU
rnacentral:rRNA from 1 species